GGCGCUGUGGAGCCGCGCAGGGUCUAGGGCGACUCUCUGAGGGAGCCGCGGCCGCCAGGCUCCGUGGGUUUUGGUUCAGGCGCCGGUGUGCCCAAGGAUGUUGUAGAACUCUGUCUAGCCACAGUGUGGGGAUGGGGAGCUCCCGCCGACAGACUCUGUUGCUUUCUGGCUUGGCCGCUGGUUGUCCCUUGCUCCUGGAAGGUCACCAUAUUGAUGCCAAACUCAGUGUGGAUGCCCAAUUGGUAGAGUGCACUACAGCCCAGAACUCAUGGACUCAAGUCAGCCUCCCAAGUCCCUGGGACUACAGAUUCCUGAAUGAUCCGGCGGCAUGGCAGAGGUGGUGCCUACUGAUAUGGCUCCGAUGACUGGAGGAACACCAGGGUCCUUGGUCUUGCGCCAAUGUAGCCCCCACAGAGGCAAAGAUCGGAGUGAUAUGGUACAAGCCAAGGCAUGCUGGCAGCCACUAGAAGCUGGCAAGGAAGGAUUGUCCCCCAGAACCUCAGUAGUGUGGUUCUGCUAACACCUUGCUUUCAGCCCAGUGAAACUGAUUUCAUACUUUUGCCUUCCAGAACUAUAAGAGAAUAAAUUUCUAUUGUCUUAUGCCGCUAAGUUGAUGGUAAUAUGUUACAGCAGCCACACGAAACAAAUAUAGCUGUGUACUACCUAACAACGUUUCUGUCAAUGAUGGACCAUACAUGCAACAGUGAUCUCAUAAGAUUAUAAUGGAGCUGAAAAAUUCCUGACAUUGUAGCUGUUGUAGUAUGGCAGCACGACACAUUUCUCACAUGUUUGCAGUGAUGAUGGUGGUGUAAACAAACCUAUUGUACUGCCAGACGUAUAAAAGUAUUAGAAAAAUGUGGAACCAGCCCAAAUGCCCAUCAACCAACGAGUGUAUAAAGAAAUUGUGGUAUAUAUAUAUAUAUAUGAUGGAAUACUACUCAGCCAUAAAAAGGAAGAAAUUAAUGGCAUUCACAGCAACCUGGAUGGAAUUGGAGACUAUUAUUCUAAGUGAAGUAACUCAGGAAUGGAAAACCAAACAUUGUAUGUUCUCACUCAUAAGUGGGAGCUAAGCUAUGAGAAUGCAAAGGCAUAAGAAAGAUACAAUGGACUUUGGGGACACAGGGGAAAGACGGGGAGAGGGGUGAGCAAUAAAAUACUACAAAUUGGGUUCAGUGUAUACAGCUCGGGUGAUGGGUGUACCAAAAUCUCACAAAUCACCAAUAAAAAACAUACUCGUGUAACCAAAUACCACCUAUUCUUCAAAAAACCAUGGAAAUAAAAAAUAAAAAA
ensembl:lncRNA LINC02558 long intergenic non-protein coding RNA 2558